rnacentral:rRNA from 1 species
CAGGCCGAACACAUGCAAGUCGAACGAUACCUUUCGGGGUCUAGUGGCGCACGGGUGCGUAACGCGUGGGAAUCUGCCCUUGGGUGCGGGAUAACCGCAGGAAACGACGGCUAAUACCGGAUGAUCACGUAGGUCCAAAGAUUUAUCGCCCAGGGAUGAGCCCACGUAGGAUUAGCUAGUUGGUGGGGUAAAGGCCUACCAAGGCGACGAUCCUUAACUGGUCUGAGAGGAUGGCCGCCCACAUUGGGACUGAGACACGGCCCAAACUCCUACGGGAGGCAGCAGAGGGAAUAUUGGACAAUGGGCGCAAGCCUGAUCCAGCCAUGCCGCGUGAGUGAUGACGGCCUUACGGUUGUAAAGCUCUUUCGCACGCGACGAUAAUGACCGUAUCGUGAGAAGAAGCCCCGGCUAACUUCGUGCCAGCAGCCGCGGAAAU